AAUGAACGUUGGCGGCGUGGAUUAGGCAUGCAAGUCGAGCGAGAACCGUAGCAAUACGGGGACAGCGGCGAAAGGGAGAGUAAUGCGUGGAUAACCUGCCCUCGGACCUGGGAUAGCCACGGGAAACUGUGGGUAAUACCAGAUAAUGUCUCCGGACCAAAGGGGUGAUUCCGUCCGUGGAGGGGUCCACGUCCUAUUAGCUAGUUGGUGUGGUAACGGCGCACCAAGGCGGUGAUGGGUACGGGGUGUGAGAGCAUGCCCCCGCUCACUGGGACUGAGACACUGCCCAGACACCUACGGGUGGCUGCAGUCGAGGAUCUUCGGCAAUGGGCGCAAGCCUGACCGAGCGACGCCGCGUGCGGGAUGAAGGCCUUCGGGUUGUAAACCGCUGUCAGAGGGGAGGAAUGGCCGGGAAGUAAUUCAUAAUCAACUCGGUUUGACCUAUCCUCAGAGGAAGUCCGGGCUAAGUUCGUGCCAGCCGCCGCAGUAAAAC
rnacentral:rRNA from 1 species